rnacentral:rRNA from 1 species
UACGUAGGGUGCAGGCGUUAAUCGGAAUUACUGGGCGUAAAGCGUGCGCAGGCGGUUUUGUAAGCCAGAUGUGAAAGCCCCGGGCUUAACCUGGGAAUGGCAUUUGGGACUGCAAGGCUUGAGUGCGGCAGAGGAGACUGGAAUUCCUGGUGUAGCAGUGAAAUGCGUAGAUAUCAGGAGGAAUACCGAUGGCGAAGGCAGGUCUCUGGUCUGACACUGACGCUCAUGCACGAAAGCGUGGGGAGCAAACAGG